AAUCUAAUUGCUGCUCUCCAAUUUCUGAUUGUGCUUGGUUGUCUCCAGAAGAAAAACUGAUCUGAUCGGUGCUGCUGUUUUUUGUGAGUAUUUUAAAGCAGAUCUAAAAUACAAAUUUCCUUAGCUUGUGGAAGAAGCAGCACUAAAUGGAGAAGACAACAUUCAAAUCACCUUGGAGUAUGUAAUAACUAAUACCAGCUGCAGUACAGAGAUUUAAUUGAUAACAGCAUCUAAUGGCCAAUGCUGGAAGUAUGUCACUAUGCUAUUAACACAUGGAAGAAAAAGUGAGAGGGAUAUUGAAAGGACGACAAGAAAAAAAGGCAAAAGAAAGGUGAAAAGGUGAUGGCACUCAGAAGAGGAGAUGCCCCUGUUGAUUGUAAACAGCAAUAACAAUUAGCCCAUUACCUGCGGGUGCCCCUGCCAUUACUGUUAAAGCUGCCAUCGAUUUGGUACCGAUGUAAUGACUUUUUA